AGAUAAGAAAUGAUUAUCAUUUAUGAUUUCGGCUCAUACCUAGGUGCAUUUUUAGCACCCUUAUCUA
rnacentral:tRNA from 1 species